rnacentral:lncRNA from 8 species
UCCAGUCUUCUACAGUUCUCAUUGUGAGAGUGGACACUUUGCUUGCUGAGAGCACAACCUAGGCUACACUUCUGACAAACUAGUUUGGGAUUUAAUUAAAUUAACAAGUUGUCAAUUUAGUUAUUGUCUUUUGUUUGGAGUGCUCCUAUCAAUGUUGAGUUAGGACGCGCACCUGAUGACGCAUAGAAGUAGGCCCAGGCUACCUGGCCUGCGCGCAAAUGUAGGCCUAUAAAUGUGCCCAUUUGGGGAUCUGAUAGUAUUUCUGAUUGUCUUAACUCACUACCACUAAUGAGCAGUGGAGCUUCUCAAAGUCAUUUUUCUUCACCUCAAACAGCAAGUAAACAAAGUCUGUUUUUACAUCCAUUGAGAAUGACAUAAGUUCCUCAAUGUAGCCUAUUUGAUCAAUCUUUCCAGCUCUCUCGAUUUCUACCUGCAGGCUGCAAUGUUUGUAUUUGUUGGCUUUAUGUAGGCUAUUUUUACAUAGUUGGCAAUGGAAAUAUAAAUUACUUUUACAUUUGUAUAAUUUAGGUAUCAUUUUUAUUAAUCACGUGACAAUGAUUUUGAGAUAAGAAGACUUUAUUAUUAAAAAAAUGAAACGAAAAAUUGCGACCAGUCAGUUAGUCGAAGGAACAGACGACUCUUGGUCGAGCAAUAUUUUUUUGUUGUUGUCGGGGACAGCCCUAGUAUGACGUAAUCAAUACUCAUACUCAUUUUGGCAACACAUUAGACAAGUCAUUUCACAGCUCACUCUCAAUAAAACCUGUCCAGUUUUCAAACAUUACAAGAACACAAUGUGUUGUGGCUUGAAAAGGUUUCUUCAACCUUGUAUUGAGUUAGGGUUAAGGACCGGCCAAUCUCUUAACCAUUCUAAGAUGAUAAGUACUUGGUAAUGUGACAAAAUGUAAACUGUUUCUUUAUUGCUUGGGGCACCUAUAUGUCUAGAAUGUGUGGAGACCACCACUUCACUUCCCCACCAAAUGAGUUUGACUGGAGUUAAUACCAGUGCUCUUUCGAUCUGGUUAGACUUUGCGUGUUUCACUUGUUUGACUAUAGAUUAUUUGGGCGUUCCCUAUUACAUUGCCAAAUGGUUUAACAUUUAGUCUUUGUUUUCAGUUAUAUAGCA